rnacentral:rRNA from 1 species
AAGGAUCAUUGUCAAAACAUGCCCACCAAAGCGACAUGCGAACNAAUGAAAACAUGCACGUGCGGUUCAAGGAUGGGCGCGCCCCUGAUCGUCCGUCCAUCGGACCAUGGUCCCCCGCCGUGGUCGCGCCGAAAGGGCGAACCGCAGGGCGGGCCAGUGUGUCAGAACUAACCAAAAACUGGCGCUAUAGGCGCCAAGGAAAUCUUAGCAGAAACAGGUGGUCACACCGUUCGUGGUUGCGGCCUUCAGGAUCCGAUACUCGAAUGACUCUCGGCAUCGGAUAUAUCGGCUCUUGCAUCGAUGAAGAACGUAGCGAAAUGCGAUACUUGGUGUGAAUUGCAUAAUCCAGUGAACUAUCGAGUCCUUGAAUUCAAGUUGCGCUCGAGGCCACUAAGUCGAGGGCACGUCUGCCUGGGCGUCACACACAGUGUCGCACCCCGACAACCAUAUUACAGGGGAGCGAAAAUUGCCCCCGGGACUUUUAGCGCAUGGUCGGCAAAAAUGUUGGUCCCCGACGGCGAGCGUCGCGGUCAGCAGACGCGAUGCUCCGCUACAUGACGAGACAAACGACCCCACGGAACCGCCUCACGCGGCAUCCACCCCGCGACCCCAGGUUAGGCGGGACUACCUGGUGAGUUUAA